GACUUGCAUUCAAAGAAUUUGUGGACGAUUCCUGCUCCCGGUCUUUUUCCACACACCAAUCUGAAGCUUCCUCUCAGCUACAAUUCUCCAGCUGUUCCUAGUUCCUUAGGUCUGGUGUUCAUCUUGAAGAUUUGGACCUCAUCAGUGGCACAAGUUCACUGUGGCAAAGGGAAAUCAUUCAGGGAUAGCAGAAAGCUUGUCACCGCUCCAAGAGAACCUCCUCUGCUGCCAACAUUCCUGGACAACUUUCCCUUUUACUCAGCUCCGGUUUGAAAAGUACCCUGUGUGGAAGGGACUUCCCUCUCAUGACUCACAUGCUGGUCAUACACAGUGGUGACUCAGCACCGUUGACACCAAGCCAGAUGUUCUCACGGGAUCUGCAGCAUGAGGGAAGGAAAAGGCGAAAUCAAGGGCAGGCGGUGUGGGGGAGGAGAGAGGCAAGAGGGAAGCAGGGGGAGAGAAACACAAAGGGUCUCAUGGCAAGGGGAAAACUUUCUUCCACAGUUUGCACUACCCACGUUGCUUGCCUGGUUUAUCCAGGAAGCUGCCUUUCACCAGGCCAGGCUCUCUCCCCAUCUAGCCUAGUGUUACCUGCAGUGACUGGCUGUAUCUCACACGCAAGAGGUCUUUUGCUCACUUGCCACCCGAUCCCUUCCACAGCAGAUAGGAGGUGGGUGAAAAGCCGGUGUUCUUCCACUGACCUUGUGCUUGCAUGCAAGCUUUGCCCUUCUGCAGCAUGUGUCUUUCUUCAGGGUGGCUGUAGGGCAGAAGUGGGCAGCCUGUCCCACGAGGCCUGCAGAAUCGCCAGGCUGCCUCACCCACUUCUCCCACUGCCAUCAGCUGUGAGGAAACCGGGAGCUGACUGAGGACUGCUGGGCUGGGAGCGCUGAACCUUUCCCCACAGACUUCUCCUCAAGAUUGCUGUUGUCCUGUUGCUAUUCACAGUGAGGAAACUGAUCUUGAAGGAGACUGCUGCUUUGAGGUAGGAAGUACAUGUGCAUCUCUGAGUGGUAAAGAGCUGCAACAUGAAGAAUCACACCAAGCUGGAGAGCCUUGUAUCCUUUUGAUAUGGGGCAGAAAGUGGAGUUGUAAACUGACAAUGUCCUCCUCCUCCCAUGCUGAUGACCUCUGGAUGUAAGGAGCUUAGAUUUUUCACAGCUAAGCACAGGCUCUUGAUUUCUCCUAGAGCAAGUGCCACAGUGGAAAAGUGACUGGUGGGGCUCCCUAGAGCAUCACUGGAGGGGGUGAUGGGGUGUCCAGGCUGGGGCUGGGCUGAAGGCAAAGGAGUGGCAUGGUCACCCCACUUCAUGUCCAGGCUUCAUAGGGGUGCCUCACACUGCUUCAUGGGUGGCCUGGCCCUAGCAGUGGAGGAGACUUUCCUCUCUCCACCUUUGGAAUAAGAUCCAGCUGUCAGUCCCAUCAGUUUCUGUACCUGGAAUGAAAAAAGAGCCAUCUUGUCCUCUUUCUCAGGUGGCAAAAUGUUUGUUUCAGAGCUGCAAGCCACGGAUUACAACCUCCAAAUGUCUGGGAGCUGCAAGAUGGACACAGCCCCUGUGAAUGUCAUCUCCCUUCACAGACUUUACAUCAUCCUCUUCAUUUGUAACCCUUCCUCAUCUUCCCACUGCCUUUCCUAUGUUUUUUUCUUACCCAGAAAAUCAUCCGGGAUGGAAAGGUGGAGCAGCUGGAUCAUGCCUUCUGAUGGGAAAUGGUGGGAGCAGUCUGUCUAGGAACAACCUGGGCAGCACAUGGAUUUAUGCUUAUAGGAAAGGACUAAUCUCUCUUGAAUGGCAGGUCCUAGUUUAAUUGCACACUUCUUGUUCUAGAGAAGGGCCUGGGUAACAGCUCAUGCUUGCUUGUCCUGUUCUAACACUGCUUCUGAUUCACUUCAACAAAUUUACCAAGAUUAAUAAAAUAAAUUUCCAUAAAUAUCCUUAA